rnacentral:rRNA from 1 species
UUAAAGGAAUUGGCGGGGGAGCACCGCAACGGGAGGAGCGUGCGGUUUAAUUGGAUUCAACACCGGAAAACUCACCAGGGGAGACUGUUACAUGAAAGCCAGGUUAAUGACUUUGCUAGAUUUUCAGAGAGGUGGUGCAUGGCCGUCGUCAGUUCGUACCGUAAGGCGUUCUCUUAAGUGAGAUAACGAACGAGACCCUCGUCAAUAGUUGCUACUUCAUCCUCCGGGGUGGAGGCACACUAUUGAGACCGCUGGCGCUAAGUCAGAGGAAGGAGAGGUCAACGGUAGGUCAGUAUGCCCCGAAUCUCCUGGGCUACACGCGCGCUACAAAGGGCGGGACAAUGGGCUCCGACACCGAAAGGUGAAGGUAAUCUCGAAACCCGUCCGUAGUUCGGAUUGAGGGUUGUAACUCACCCUCAUUAAGCUGGAUUCCGUAGUAAUCGCGAAUCAACAACUCGCGGUGAAUAGCCCCUGCUCCUUGCACACACCGCCCGUCA